CGAAGCAGUCAUAAGUUUUCAAUAACUGCUGAAGUGAGCGCGGGAUGUCUUCAGCAUUCUUAUAAAUAUCCAAGAGGCAGUCUAUCAAUGUAAAUCUUUGAAGAUUAUAUUGGGGACAGUCAAAGAAAAUAUGAUUAAGAGUUUGGAUGGAUAAAUUACAGAAUUGACAAGUUGGAGAAUCUAAAACACCGAUCCUAAAUAAAUGAGCACCACUACGAGAAUGUCCCAGACGUAACCGACAAAUUGUGGUGUAAAAUUUUCUGUGGACAUUUAAGGAUAGAAGAAUGGAUGAUAAUUGUUCUAAAUCAACAUUAUUAAAUGCUCCUACAACAUCCAAAAAAACACCAGCCAAUAUCUUAUUGUCAAUCUGGGCACUAUGGAUGUCAAGACAUAAAUGUCUUAUACUCUCACAAGCAGAACGACCACAUCGAAAUCCAAAUUGAUUAUUAGAUUACUGUGUGGAGGAAUGUUGGAUGGAAUUGAAGAAGAUUCAGUUUCCGACACUACCAUGGAAAAUUUUGUGAUUGUAGGCAAGUGAUAGCUGCCCAAAGAGUCCUGAUGAACUUGCCAUUCACA